rnacentral:rRNA from 1 species
GCAUAUCAAUAAGCGGAGGAAAAGAAACCAACAGGGAUUGCCUUAGUAACGGCGAGUGAAGCGGCAAAAGCUCAAAUUUGAAAUCUGGCACCUUCGGUGUCCGAGUUGUAAUUUGAAGAAGGUAACUUUGGAGUUGGCUCUUGUCUAUGUUCCUUGGAACAGGACGUCACAGAGGGUGAGAAUCCCGUGCGAUGAGAUGCCCAAUUCUAUGUAAAGUGCUUUCGAAGAGUCGAGUUGUUUGGGAAUGCAGCUCUAAGUGGGUGGUAAAUUCCAUCUAAAGCUAAAUAUUGGCGAGAGACCGAUAGCGAACAAGUACAGUGAUGGAAAGAUGAAAAGAACUUUGAAAAGAGAGUGAAAAAGUACGUGAAAUUGUUGAAAGGGAAGGGCUUGAGAUCAGACUUGGUAUUUUGCGAUCCUUUCCUUCUUGGUUAGGUUCCUCGCAGCUUACUGGGCCAGCAUCGGUUUGGAUGGUAGGAUAAUGAUUAAGGAAUGUGGCUCUGCUUCGGUGGAGUGUUAUAGCCUUGGUUGAUACUGCCUGUCUAGACCGAGGACUGCGUCUUUGACUAGGAUGUUGGCAUAAUGAUCUUAAGCCACCCGUCUUGAAACACGGACC